GUGCCAGCAGCCGCGGUAAUACGAAGGGGGCUAGCGUUGCUCGGAAUUACUGGGCGUAAAGGGCGCGUAGGCGGACAGUUUAGUCAGAGGUGAAAGCCCAGGGCUCAACCUUGGAAUUGCCUUUGAUACUGGCUGUCUUGAGUUCGGGAGAGGUGAGUGGAAUGCCGAGUGUAGAGGUGAAAUUCGUAGAUAUUCGGCGGAACACCAGUGGCGAAGGCGACUCACUGGCCCGAUACUGACGCUGAGGCGCGAAAGCGUGGGGAGCAAACAGGAUUAGAUACCCUGGUAGUCC
rnacentral:rRNA from 1 species